rnacentral:rRNA from 1 species
UACGAAGGGUGCAAACGUUGCUCGGAAUUAUUGGGCGUAAAGCGCACGUAGGCGGCAUUGCAAGUCGGAUGUGAAAUCUUAUGGCUUAACCAUAAAAGUGCAUCCGAAACUGCAGUGCUUGAGUACUUAAGAGGAUCGCGGAAUUCCCGGUGUAGAGGUGAAAUUCGUAGAUAUUCGCAAGAACACCAGUGGCGAAGGCGGCUCACUGGUCCGGUUCUGACGCUGAGGCGCGAAAGCGUGGGGAGCAAACAGG